rnacentral:rRNA from 1 species
GAAAUCUAUUUAGGUAGAGCGUCGGAUGAAUACUCUCGGGGGUAGAGCACUGGAUGGGCUAUGGGGGCUUACCGCCUUACUGAUCCUAACCAAACUCCGAAUACCGAGAAGUACUAUCCGGCAGACACACAGUGGGUGCUAACGUCCAUUGUGGAGAGGGAAACAACCCUGACCGCCAGUUAAGGUCCCUAAGUUAUGGCUAAGUGGGAAAGGAUGUAGGACUCCCAAAACAACCAGGAUGUUGGCUUAGAAGCAGC